CAGGCCAUCUGGAAGGUAAAAACAUGGCCCAUUUCCCUGACUGCAUGUGUCCCUGGACUGGGUCGGGGCGUGGUUACAAAUGAAUGGUGCAUAACAUUCUAAAUGCAAUGUCAGAUUCACAUUGAGAGAAUUGCUACCAUUUGUCCAAAUAUUAUUUUCAUCAAUUGUGGCAAUGAAAGCAGAUAGAUCAGAUAUAAUGCACAGUAAAGAUUUUCCUUUUCUUUUUGUAAUAUAUCUUGAAGAAUAUCAAAGACUGUGGGAACUGAAAGGUUUUAUACCAAGACUUACAGUCAUAGUUGAUAAUGACAAAGUUAUCAAGUAUUGCAUUAUUCAAAUAUAAUUUCAGGUUAUGCAGGUUGUUGAGAGCAAUUAAUAUGAUGAGGGAAGGCAGGAAAGAGUACCAGUCUUAUAGUCUGUAUGUACUCGUGGCAAAAUGGUGUUCGAGCGUUGGCGAAUAAGGAUUUGCUUGCAGCGUUGAAGAACGAUAAUAUGCAAAGAACAGAAAGAAAGGUUCUCUUAACAUAGAAAGUAAAGAAAUAAUGAAGUUCACAUUACAGUUGACAAUAUGGAUGUGUUUCCUUUGUUAUUUGAACAUGAUUUAUUUUAACUUACAUAACAAAUAUGCACUACAAUAAUGAAUAUCUAUAUUAAUAGUAAUGAUAUUCCAUUAAACAUGGAUAUGGAAAAAAUAUUCUUUGACAGUGCAAGAUAAGAUAAAUCCAGACAUAGUAUCAUCCACAUACUUGAAAUUUGUCUUGUAACUACAUGUAUUUUUAUGAGGUUAAGUGGUGAGUAAUCAACUUUUAUCAUAAAAGUUUCUUAUUUGGGGAUAGUAUGUAUUUAUGUUGACACUGUGUACCUUCAUUCUCUUCAUUUUUCUGUACGAAACAAGACCAAAUGUGUCAUUUAACCGUUUUAAACUGUAUUUAUUAUACUCUUCAUUGAAUAGCCUAACAAAUUUAAAUGUGUUGUUAUUUUGAUUAUAUUGUAUCGGUGUCAUAGGGUACAUGUCCAUUCCUAGCCUUCAAGAUAAAACAGAUAUAUUCUUUGUUGUAAAAUGUGUUCUUUAUGCAUAAACUACUAACUUACAUUUUUCCGCUUAACAAGUAUUCCAACAUGCUACACAUUUACUCACCGGUUGUCUAAAGUACCCGCCAACGUUGGUCGUCCCCGCAUAUCUGUCAAUAAU